ACUUAUAUAGUUUAAAAUAAAACUCUUCAUUUUCAAUGAAAAGAUAGAUAAUUUCUUAUAAGUA
rnacentral:tRNA from 1 species